rfam:Cyanophage P-SSP7, complete genome.
GUCCGUUCAUCCCUUACGGGACGCAUGACUCCUAAGCAUGGAACGGGGCUUAGGU